rnacentral:ncRNA from 1 species
CCUUUAGGUUCCCUCAAGGGAUUCAAAGGGAAGACCAGUGAAAGUCUGGCGCUAUCCCCGUAGCUGUAAGCUUCAUGUUCGUUUUAUCGAGUAUACCACUGAGCAAUGGGUCUAAUCCAUAGGCUUGGGAAGGUGAUAAAACAGAAGCAAGCCAGAAGACCUGCCUAGAGUGU